rnacentral:rRNA from 1 species
UACAGAGGAUGCAAGCGUUAUCCGGAAUUAUUGGGCGUAAAGCGUCUGCAGGUGGCUGUUCAAGUCUGCUGUCAAAGCGCAGAGCUUAACUCUGUACAGGCGGUGGAAACUGAAGAGCUAGAGUAUGGUAGGGGUAGAGGGAAUUCCCGGUGUAGCGGUGAAAUGCGUAGAUAUCGGGAAGAACACCAGUGGCGAAAGCGCUCUACUGGGCCAUAACUGACACUGAGGGACGAAAGCUAGGGGAGCGAAAGGG